rnacentral:rRNA from 1 species
CGGUAGACCUGCGGAGGGAUCAUUACCGAG